rnacentral:rRNA from 1 species
AGUGAACGCUGGCGGUAGGCCUAACACAUGCAAGUCGAACGGCAGCACAGGAGAGCUUGCUCUCUGGGUGGCGAGUGGCGGACGGGUGAGGAAUACAUCGGAAUCUACUCUGUCGUGGGGGAUAACGUAGGGAAACUUACGCUAAUACCGCAUACGACCUACGGGUGAAAGCAGGGGACCUUCGGGCCUUGCGCGAUGGAAUGAGCCGAUGUCGGAUUAGCUAGUUGGCGGGGUAAAGGCCCACAAAGGCGACGAUCCGUAGCUGGUCUGAGAGGAUGCUCAGCCACACUGGAACUGAGACACGGUCCAGACUCCUACGGGAGGCAGCAGUGGGGAAUAUUGGACAAUGGGCGCAAGCCUGAUCCAGCCAUACCGCGUGGGUGAAGAAGGCCUUCGGGUUGUAAAGCCCUUUUGUUGGGAAAGAAAUCCAGCUGGCUAAUACCCGGUUGGGAUGACGGUACCCAAAGAAUAAGCACCGGCUAACUUCGUGCCAGCAGCCGCGGUAA